ensembl:lncRNA
CUGCUUUUUCAUUUUCUUAGAAGCUGUCCUCCGGGAUAGUUAAGUCGACCUUCUCAAAAGCAGGACCAGACAGAAUCAUCAGGAGCAUCACACGCAUUGUUUCCUCGAUGAUCAUCUCAUCAUCCGCAGAGGACAGUGUUUCAACAUGUGGGUUGAUCUGUGCCGUCCUUUCAAUCCCAGUUGUGACAAGCUUCACCUGGAGCUCAAACUAGGUCAUAUCCCAUCCAUCCGGGACGGCACUUAUGUGAUUGUUCCAUUAGUGGAAGAAUUUAAGAAAGACUGCUGGGGGGGAAAAGAUCAUCGAACAAGGUGA